rnacentral:lncRNA from 1 species
CUCAGCUGUGGCCUGGAUGAAAAUGCCCUUUCACAUGUGUGUAACAAACUACGUAUAGUUUUCAUUUCACAGAGCAUGGGUUCAGAAUUCAUUAAUUCACUGUUCGUGCCAACCUUAUAGAACAUAACUGCAGCAAAUAACAAGAGUCAGCUGUACUUGUCUAGAAGAAUAGGAGAAUGAGUGAACUGGGGAAGUAUAAUACGAUUGUUGGGCAGUCAUAAGGCUUUCAUGGAUGCCUCAGGCUGCUCAACCAUAUGUAUGUGCCUGUGAAAUCUUUGCCCUGAAGAGAUCCGCCACAAUGAAUGGAGAAGACAUCCAAGCACCAGUGGGUAUUUUAUGUUGCCAGAGGUCUCUGAGGCAGAGAGAAUGAGCAUGCUUUCCUGUGCCUUUGUGCAGGGGAAAGCGGUAAGAGGAAAAGUAAACACGGGAACAGCAUUGUGUUCUGAGAUAGUCGCUGCCCCUCUGAUCUCAAGCCUUUUCCGUACAAAGCAGGCGCUAACCUAAUCUUUGUUUCUUCAAUCGUCCACCAAGGUUUUUUGAAUUUUUCCUUUUCUUCCUAUAGACACUCUCUCCUUAGGUUCCUAGGAAGCAGGCUGCUUGGUGGAAGAAAAGUGAGUCAUUUCCUCCUGUAGGGAGCAUUUCAAAUAAAUUAUUAUUUUUUUUAGUGCUGUCAUUUACUUCAUUAAACAUUGAUUUUGUCUAAGUUAAUAUUAGGAAAAAGAACUCUACUUGUUUUC